ensembl:snoRNA
AGCCUCAUUUUCCACGAGAAUAGGCACUGCUGGUUGCGUGUCCUGGAAUUCCUAAUGUGGCUAAACUGAGACCACAGACCAUGUUUCCAGCUCAGGAAACGGACUGCAAGGGGGACGAUGAGACCUGUAAUUUUU